rnacentral:rRNA from 1 species
UGGGGAAUAUUGGACAAUGGGCGGAAGCCUGAUCCAGCAACGCCGCGUGAGGGAUGACGGCCUUCGGGUUGUAAACCUCUUUCAGUACCGACGAAGCGAAAGUGACGGUAGGUACAGAAGAAGGACCGGCCAACUACGUGCCAGCAGCCGCGGUAAUACGUAGGGUCCGAGCGUUGUCCGGAAUUAUUGGGCGUAAAGGGCUCGUAGGCGGUUUGUCGCGUCGGGAGUGAAAACAGCGGGCUUAACUCGUUGCUUGCUUUCGAUACGGGCAGACUAGAGGUAUGCAGGGGAGAAUGGAAUUCCUGGUGUAGCGGUGAAAUGCGCAGAUAUCAGGAGGAACACCGGUGGCGAAGGCGGUUCUCUGGGCAUUACCUGACGCUGAGGAGCGAAAGUGUGGGGAGCGAACAGGAUUAGAUACCCUGGUAGUCCACACCGUAAAACGUUGGGNGCUAGGUGUGGGGUCCUUUCCACGGAUUCCGUGCCGUAGCUAACGCAUUAAAGCGCCCCGCCUGGGGAGUACGGCCGCAAGGCUAAAAACUCAAAGG